rnacentral:rRNA from 1 species
ACGAACGCUGGCGGCGUGCUUAACCCAUGCCAGUCGAACGGUGAAGCGCCUUCCUUUUUGGUGGGUGUGGAUGAGUGGCGAACGGGUGAGUAACACGUGAGUAACCUGCCCCCUUCUUCUGGAUAACCGCAUGAAAGUGUGGCUAAUACGGGAUAUUCUGGGUCUGUCGCAUGAUGGGUCUGGGAAAGAUAUUGUUUCGGUGGGGGAUGGGCUCGCGGCCUAUCAGCUUGUUGGUGGGGUGAUGGCCUACCAAGGCGGUGACGGGUAGCCGGCCUGAGAGGGUGGACGGACACGCUGGGACUGAGACACGGCCCAGACUCCUACGGGAGGAAGCAGGGAGGAAUAUUGCACGAUGGGAGCAAGCCUGAUGCAGCGACGCCGCGUGAGGGAUGGAGGCCUUCGGGUUGUGAACCUCUUUCGCCAGUGAAGCAGGCCUGCCUCGUUUGUGGAUGGGUUGACGGUAGCUGGAUAAGAAGCGCCGGCUAACUACGUG